ACGAACGCUGGCGGCGUGCUUAACACAUGCAAGUCGCACUGUGAAGCGCCUUCCUUUUUGGUGGGUGUGGAUGAGUGGCGAACGGGUGAGUAACACGUGAGUAACCUGCCCCCUUCUUCUGGAUAACCGCAUGAAAGUGUGGCUAAUACGGGAUAUUCUGGGUCUGUCGCAUGAUGGGUCUGGGAAAGAUAUUGUUUCGGUGGGGGAUGGGCUCGCGGCCUAUCAGCUUGUUGGUGGGGUGAUGGCCUACCAAGGCGGUGACGGGUAGCCGGCCUGAGAGGGUGGACGGUCACACUGGGACUGAGACACGGCCCAGACUCCUACGGGAGGCAGCAGUGGGGAAUAUUGCACAAUGGGCGCAAGCCUGAUGCAGCGACGCCGCGUGAGGGAUGGAGGCCUUCGGGUUGUGAACCUCUUUCGCCAGUGAAGCAGGCCUGCCUCGUUUGUGGGUGGGUUGACGGUAGCUGGAUAAGAAGCGCCGGCUAACUACGUG
rnacentral:rRNA from 1 species